rnacentral:rRNA from 1 species
GAUGAACGCUGGCGGCGUGCCUAAUACAUGCAAGUCGAGCGAACAGACGAGGAGCUUGCUCCUCUGACGUUAGCGGCGGACGGGUGAGUAACACGUGGAUAACCUACCUAUAAGACUGGGAUAACUUCGGGAAACCGGAGCUAAUACCGGAUAAUAUAUUGAACCGCAUGGUUCAAUAGUAAAAGACGGUUUUGCUGUCACUUAUAGAUGGAUCCGCGCCGCAUUAGCUAGUUGGUAAGGUAACGGCUUACCAAGGCAACGAUGCGUAGCCGACCUGAGAGGGUGAUCGGCCACACUGGAACUGAGACACGGUCCAGACUCCUACGGGAGGCAGCAGUAGGGAAUCUGCCGCAAUGGGCGAAAGCCUGACGGAGCAGCGCCGCGUGAGUGAUGAAGGUCUUCGGAUCGUAAAACUCUGUUAUUAGGGAAGAACAAAUGUGUAAGUAACUAUGCACGUCUUGACGGUACCUAAUCAGAAAGCCACGGCUAACUACGUG